UCACGACCGGUGGCUUUGGAUGGGGAGAGAUUUUUGAGCUUAUUCGACCAAAGAAAAAGGUAUCCUGGAGCUAGUAGAGUUGCUUCGUGAAGCUGAAAUGACGACCGAUAAGACUAGUGAUUCUGCCAAACUAAUGGACACUGCUAGAGCCCUACUUGGGGUACGCCCUACCCAUGACGUGUAGUCCCAAGCUCCACCACCAACUGCCUGACCCUCCAGUACCCAAUUCGAUGAUGACUUGUACUCCAACCCCGACUUCUUGAAGGUUGUGGAAGAGAUAGAGUGUGCGGUUCACGAGCGGAAUGUUUUCUCUAAUGUGCCCUCAUUUAGCUUGGAGCUGUCACAGGGUGCAAGCACGUCACACAUGGAGCAUACGACUACCAUUGGCACAGUUGCUCCCCGUGGUGGAGCGCAGGCGGGUGGCAUUGAGCAAGCUCGUGUAGAGCGUGCCUUAGGAUGAGGAGAUCUUUCGCUACAAGGAACACUGUGUAUCGCAUGGGGACAUCGCUACUUUGAAGGAUGGGUCUAAGAUUGACUUUGUUAUAGUGGAUGCUUGGACUUGCAUCCUGAACUACCGGGAGCUUACCAAAGCCAAUGGUGCUCCAAACAGGCUGUUUGCGUCCACGAUGAUGAUGCUUGGCUAGCUUCAAACUGUGGUGAACCACAAACCACCCCGGUCCCAACGCUUGAGAUGGUUCAAAAAGAGCCUAGCAGUGGACUUUAGCAACUCACC